rnacentral:rRNA from 1 species
UAAUUGAAGAGUUUGAUCAUGGCUCAGAUUGAACGCUGGCGGUAGGCUUAACACAUGCAAGUCGAGCGGAAACGAAGAAUAGCUUGCUAUUCUGGCGUCGAGCGGCGGACGGGUGA